UGCGGCUGGAUCACCUCCUUUCUA
rnacentral:misc_RNA from 1 species